GUGCUCGAUUCGGCAUCAUGUAUACUAAAAUUGGAAUGAUGCAGGGAAUAUUAGCAGGGCCCCUGUCAAGGAGGAUAUGCAAACUUGUGAAGCAUUUCAUAUUUUA